UGUAUAGCAGUGAUGUCCAAACUUUUAACCCCGUGGGUCAUUUCCGGCUAACACAGAAAUCGAAAUAGAAACGUCUGCUCGCAAUGCAUGAUCAUGCAUGAUGAUUUUUCAGGAAAAUGAUAAAAAGAAAUGAAAUGCAUCCUAGCUGAAACCUUCCGCAGGAUGACCCGGGAUAGCAGCAAGCAGGUCUAUAGGGACAAAUGACGAAGGCUCAUAACAUAUGACCAGGCAACCAUCCUUGCUGAUGUGAUACUUCAAGAAAAAGAGACAGUAUAAUAGCGAUUGUUUUUGUUAAAGUUGUCUUCCAAUGAAUUAAUCAAAGAAUUUAAGCAACUAUGAAGAGAGGAUUUUAGAAAAGAGGAUAUGCUUGUAUGGCGGAGAGGAUGCUGGAUAUGAUGUCUGAAGGUCCUGGGAAGCUCCUCUCUCUCAUUCUUUAUGAUCAUUUAGUCAGGUGCUGACAUUGAGACAUGUUCUGGUUUGACAAUUUAGGUACUGGAUUGUUCACCCUUGAUGAAAUUAUGGAAAUCAAGAAUACCACUUUAGCCAAAGUUAUAACCUUUUCAAUAAAAAUUGAUGAAAACCUAAUUCAAUGUGAUUUAUUUACAGUUAAAAAAGUACAUUUUUGAGAAGCACUUUCAAAGUAGGAAUGGAGGUAAAAGUAUCUUCACUGGACUGAAAGCCACAACACAUUUUGGACGACCACAGAUGAGUAAAAUAAUGAAUGCAGUAUACAUGCACAUCCAUUGAUAGGGUAUUUUGUCUGUUUCAUACUGACAAGACGGUAGGUUCUAAAACUGCGCUGUUUAACAACUUACUGGACAAUCUGAUUUUGUGAUUGACGACAGCAUGAACAAAUCUUUCCAGUCAAAACAAAUGGACAACAUACCAGAUAGAUAAACCAAUGUUGCCAUUUAUGUAUGCUGAUCUGCAUAACCUAGCAUUCAGCAUCCUUAAGCGAUUUAUAAAACAAAAGAAACUUGAUAGUAUUAAAAGUACUAAUGACAUUUUAUGCUUCAAUGUUGAGGACUCAAAAAAUCACAAAGUCACCACAUUGAAAUUGGAUUUGUUGCUGAGUCAUUUUUUUUAAAUCUGAAGAGGCAAAAAAAAGUUAGUGAACUUCUGAUUCUUAAUUUUAAAUCGGAUUGUAAGAAAACCCAAGUAGUAGAAUCUGCUGCCCAAUUCCUCUCCAAUUAACUAUUACACUACUCUGUUGUGAAGGACAUCUCAUGUCUGGAUCUUUCUUUCAUGAUUGAAAACAAGUCAACUGCUUUAGUAAGAUUGAAACAUUUUUUACUAAUCUUUGUCAAUUUAAGACAAUUUCCAGCUUCCGAUUGUGACACAGUUUUAGAUGAAUUUUCAGAAUUCAUCAACCAGGCCAACCUGACUGGCUCUCUUUCUUCCUUUUCAAAGGAAAAAGAUUGGAUACUUUUUUUAUGAACAUCUUUCUCAUGGACAAGCAAGUGUGGAGAGAGGUUCUUCAGUCAAUAAAAGAGAUUGAAAAUUAUAACAUGGCAGAGAGAAGUCUGGUCUCUAGGAGAAUAGUCAUUGACAGUUUCAGGCAGUUUUCAAACUUAGUUAUUUUAUAAUCACACCAAAAAUGCUUUUCCAUGCUAGAAAUGCUCACAGCAGAUACAUUAUGUAUUUGGAUGACCUUAGAAAAAAAUCUGAACAAGACAAAAGGGGAGUCAUGAGAAAAACAGAGGAUGAUGAAGGGACACAACUUAAUGUGAGAAAAAGGGCACUCGAGCGUGACAUUUAAGCUCUUGUUACAUCUGCGGAUGAACUUGCAAUGCAAGCAGGAAAAGAAGGAAAGAUUUUUUUGGUAACUAUUUCAAACAGUUUUAAGAAAAAGUGCCAAAGAAAAAGAAGGAGAUUUGAAAUCUCUAAAUAAACAGAGGAAAGGCAGAUGGAGUUGAAAACAAUAGUAUAACUGUUGUUCAUAAAACUUCAUGAAAUUUGUAAUUUACAAGUAUAAUCUUGCUUUUUAGAAAUUUUCUUUGUUUUAACAUGCACAUUUCUGUCUUUGAUAUGUUAUAUGUAUUUAAUUUCAAAACAUGCUUAUUUUGUCACUUUAAUUAAUAUAAACUAAAAUGUAUACUGUAAAAUGUAAAAAAAGGCAGACUGAGUUGAAAACACUAGUUUAACUCUUUGGCUCCGCAACAACGCACAGGACGUUGAUUUAAAAAAAGGGGAAAAAAGUCUGACCAACGCUGGGGGCAUCGGCUAUUUCAAAUGUAUUUUUUUCAUUUCUAUUUCUCCAAUUCUUGUUUUUUAUUGCUUAUCUAUUUUUAUCUAGAAUAGUUUCCCUUUGCUAAACAUCCGGAAUAUCCUUCAUUUAAGGUGUUUUUAUUUUGUACGAAGUUUGUAAAGAGAUGACAUUUAUUUUUUCUGUGUGCGUGUUUUUUUAACAUGGAGCUUCAACCAAGGCCAUAUAAACUUUGUAGAUCUAAAUAUUUCUUUGAUAAAGAAGUAUAAUAAUUCAGAUGACAGUAAUUUUGUUUCAUCUGAUGGUGAUAUUGAUAAAUCUAAUUAUAUAGAUCUAGAUCUAGUAAAUUAAUUUAUAGAUCUAGGUAGGUACUUCAACAGACGCUAUUCUCACGCGCCACGAGACUGCGUGAGAAUUGGUCCUCCAUAUUUGGGCAAGUAUCGUCGUUAUUGCUGGUGAACUAAUUAAAGCGUAAUUUUUUAUUUAGUAAUCGAUACUAAUUGGGUGUCAUCUGAAUCAGAAAGAAAAGCCGAUUAUUUUGAUACCAACUUUACCCGUGUGGUUUUGUUCGUUCUUUUUCUUGGACCUGUUGAAAAUAAGGUAAGUUUGAAUAUUGAUAGCUUUUUUGUUUCUUCUUUGU
rnacentral:sRNA from 1 species